AUUGAACGCUGGCGGCAGGCCUAACACAUGCAAGUCGAACGAGUGGCGGACGUGUGAGUAAUGUCUGGGAAACUGCCUGAUGGAGGGGGAUAACUACUGGAAACGGUAGCUAAUACCGCAUACCAUCAGAUGUGCCCAGAUGGGAUUAGCUAGGUGGUGGGGUAACGGCUCACCAAGGCGACGAUCCCUAGCUGGUCUGAGAGGAUGACCAGACAAACUGGAAGUGAGACACGGUCGAGACUCCUACGGGAGGCAGAGGUGGGGAAUAUUGCACAAUGGGCGCAAGCCUGAUGCAGCCAUGCCGAGUGGAUGAAGAAGGCUGUCGGGUUGUAAAGUACUUUCAGCGGGGAGGCGUUACCCGCAGAAGAAGCACCGGCUAACUCCGUGCCGGCAGCCGCGGUAAUUC
rnacentral:rRNA from 1 species